UACGUAGGGCGCGAGCGUUACCCGGAUUUACUGGGCGUAAAGGGCGUGUAGGCGGCCUGGGGCGUCCCAUGUGAAAGGCCACGGUUCAACCGGGGAGGAGCGUGGGAUACGCUCAGGCUAGACGGUGGGAGAGGGUGGUGGAAUUCCCGGAGUAGCGGUGAAAUGCGCAGAUACCGGGAGGAACGCCGAUGGCGAAGGCAGCCACCUGGUCCACCCGUGACGCUGAGGCGCGGAAGCGUGGGGAGCAAACCGG
rnacentral:rRNA from 1 species